rnacentral:rRNA from 1 species
GNGACGGCCGCUUUACCUUGACUGCGCUAAGGUAGCAUAAUCAAUUGGCUAUUAAUUGUAGUCUGGAAUGAAAGAAGUAAUGAAUAGUAGCUAUAAUAAUUAGUGUUUUUUUAAUUUGUUUAUCUGGAGAAAAUACCAGUAAUUUAGAAAAAAGACGAGAAGACCCUUAGAAUUUUUAAAGAAAAGUGUUUGACAUUUUUUUAAAUAGAAAAAAUAGAUUACAUCCUAAUUUUUUGUUGGGGCGACGAGAAAACAAAAACUUAUGAAGAAGCCUUCCUAAUUAUAUUAAAAAUAAACACAUGAUAAUACUAUGUGACGAAAUUUUUAUGAUUAACUAAAUUACCUUAGGGAUAACAGCAUAAUGAUACUUUUAUUUAGCAAGCGACCUCGAUGUUGGACUAGGAACUUUACCACUAACAGAGGAAAAAGAAUGUUCUGUUCGAACAAUA